GGGCUCACUUCUGCAGCACAUAUUCUAAAAUCGGAGCAAUACAGAUAUUAGCAUGGCCUCUGCGCAAGGAAGGAUGAAAUGCAAAUUUGUGAAGCUUUUCAUAAGGAG